GUGCACCAGGCGCGAAUACUUUACAAUGUGCGAAAGCACGAUAAGGGAACUCUGAGUGCCUCCUAAGGAGGCUGUUCUGAUGUCUAAAAGCAACAGAAGUAAGGGCUGGGUAAGACCGGUGCCAGCCGCCGCGGUAACACCGGCAGCCCAAGUGGUAGCCACGUUUAUUGGGUCUAAAGCGUUCGUAGCCGGCCAGGUAAGUUCCUUGGUAAAUUUAGCCGCUUAACGGUUAAGCUUUCAGGGAAUACUGCUUGGCUUGGGACUGGGAGAGGUCAGAGGUACUCCGGGGGUAGGGGUGAAAUCUAUUAAUCCCUGGGGGACCACCGGUAGCGAAGGCGUCUGACCAGACCAGGUCCGACGGUGAGGGACGAAGGCUAGGGGCGCGAACCGGAUUAGAUA
rnacentral:rRNA from 1 species